ACUGUUCGCCAGAGAACUACGAGCGAAAAACUUAAAACUCUAAGGACUUGGCGGUGCCCCACACCAGCCUAGAGGAGCCUGUCCUAUAAUCGAUACUCCGCGUUAAACCUUACCCCCUCUUGUAAACCCAGCCUAUAUACCGCCGUCGACAGCUCACCUUGUGAAAGACACUUAGUGGGCACAACAAUUAUCAACUAAUACGUCAGGUCAAGGUGUAGCACACGAGGGGGCAGAGAUGGGCUACAUUUCCUCUAACAGGAAACACGCACGACAUGCUGAAACACAUGCCCAAAGGCGGAUUUAGCAGUAAGACAGAUAAGAAGACCUGUCUCAAACCUGCUCUGGGGCGCGCACACACCGCCCGU
rnacentral:rRNA from 1 species